rnacentral:rRNA from 1 species
AACAGGAUUAGAUACCCUGGUAGUCCACGCCGUAAACGAUGAGUGCUAAGUGUUGGAGGGUUUCCGCCCUUCAGUGCUGCAGCAAACGCAUUAAGCACUCCGCCUGGGGAGUACGACCGCAAGGUUGAAACUCAAAGGAAUUGACGGGGGCCCGCACAAGCGGUGGAGCAUGUGGUUUAAUUCGAAGCAACGCGAAGAACCUUACCAGGUCUUGACAUCCUUUGACCACUCUAGAGAUAGAGCUUCCCCUUCGGGGGCAAAGUGACAGGUGGUGCAUGGUUGUCGUCAGCUCGUGUCGUGAGAUGUUGGGUUAAGUCCCGCAACGAGCGCAACCCUUAUUGUUAGUUGCCAUCAUUUAGUUGGGCACUCUAGCGAGACUGCCGGUGACAAACCGGAGGAAGGUGGGGAUGACGUCAAAUCAUCAUGCCCCUUAUGACCUGGGCUACACACGUGCUACAAUGGGAAGUACAACGAGUUGCGAAGUCGCGAGGCUAAGCUAAUCUCUUAAAGCUUCUCUCAGUUCGGAUUGUAGGCUGCAACUCGCCUACAUGAAGCCGGAAUCGCUAGUAAUCGCGGAUCAGCACGCCGCGGUGAAUACGUUCCCGGGCCUUGUACACACCGCCCGUCACACCACGAGAGUUUGUAACACCCGAAGUCGGUGAGGUAACCUUUUUGGAGCCAGCCGCCUAAGGUGGGAUAGAUGAUUGGGGGUGAAGUCGUAACAAGGUAACC